CAGCAAUGAGUGUGUGCAAGAGUGUGUGAGCACACCUCAGACAGCAUGGCGUACUGCCCCCUCCUGGCCAUGCCGAUGGUGAGCAGAUCAUAGACAGAGGUGGCAUCCUGCAGACUGGCCUGGCGAGCCUCGGCCUGGUCAGGCAGACGACUGAUCACCGCUUCGCCACUGGCCUGGAUGAAGAGAGAGACGGAGAGUGAUGAAGAGGAGGGGGAAAGAGAACAGUGUGUGUGUGUGUGUAGCUCACCAUUGACUCUGUGAUGAGCAGCAGCAACAAUGCCUCUUCCACCACGUCCUGAGGACAGAAGCAACUACCAGGACACAGGAAACAGGAAAUGCUCUGUGUCCUGUUCAAGGACACAUUUGCCAGACACCAUACUGGGCUAUUCACUAGAGGCAACGAUGACAAAAGCCACGGACAAUAAUGAAGAGUACAACUGUUCCUGGGGGUGAAUUCUCCUGUUCAACCUCUCCUUCUAAUCUCAGACAUGGAUUUAGAUCUUCACUUGUGAUAGUGUGGGCAGGAUUAGUCAUGUGGCGGUGACUAAGUAUGGCUCACAGGGCCUGAACAACGAGUGCAGGAUCCCCACAAAGUGGGAAAUGCAGAAACAAGGCAACAAAAUGAUGCAGAUAACCAGUCUUGUCUUGUCAGGACUGUGAAAGGGGAUUUUAUGGCUAUAUAAUAUAUAUGUAUAGUAUGUGUAGUAUGUGACUUUGACAUGACAUUCUAUGUUAUCCUACGCUAUGGUAAACUAUGCCAUUUUCCAUUCUGUUCUGUUAUGCAAUGUUAUGCUAUACUACUAUGCAGUAUAAUGUUCUGAUAUAUUAUGUGCAAUAAUGUGCAAUGUAAGGCUAUGCUAUUUUAUGCUGUGUCAUCUAUACUCAAUCUUUAGUAAGAUGAGGGGCUGCAUUCAAUUAAACAGGAACUCUGAGGGGUUUAAAGUUGUUGGUGAAAGAAUUUAGAAAUACCUUUCAAACACUGUAUAGUGUGUGUUUUUAUCAUAUAUGCUCUAGUUACGCUUCUAUCGAAUCAAAUGAUAAAACA